AACGAACGCUGGCGGCAUGCCUAACACAUGCAAGUCGAACGGGAUCCUAGCUUGCUAGGUGAGAGUGGCGGACGGGUGAGUAACACGUGGGAAUCUGCCUUUGGUUCGGGAUAACCGCGGGAAACUGCGGCUAAUACCGAAUGCCCUCGAGAGAGGAAAGAUUUAUCGCCAGAAGAGGAGCCCGCGUCCGAUUAGGUAGUUGGUGGGGUAAAGGCCUACCAAGCCGACGAUCGGUAGCUGGUCUGAGAGGAUGAUCAGCCACACUGGGACUGAGAUACGGCCCAGACUCCUACGGGAGGCAGCAGUGGGGAAUAUUGGACAAUGGGGGCGAACCCUGAUCCAGCAAUGCCGCGUGAGUGAUGAAGGCCUUAGGGUUGUAAAGCUCUUUUGCCAGGGAAGAUGAUGACUGUACCUGGAGAAUAAGCCCCGGCUAACUUCGUGCCAGCAGCCGCGGUAAU
rnacentral:rRNA from 1 species